UACGAGGGUGCGAGCGUUGUCCGGAAUCAUUGGGCGUAAAGGGCGCGUAGGUGGCGGGACAAGCGUGCGGUGAAAGCUCGGGGCUCAACCCCGAGUCGGCCGUGCGAACUGUUUUGCUUGAGCACUGUAGAGGCAGGCGGAAUUCCGGGUGUAGCGGUGGAAUGCGUAGAGAUCCGGAAGAACACCGGUGGCGAAGGCGGCCUGCUGGGCAGUAGCUGACACUGAGGCGCGACAGCGUGGGGAGCAAACAGG
rnacentral:rRNA from 1 species